rnacentral:tRNA from 1 species
GAAGAAAUAGCUCAGUUGGUAGAGCGGUAGACUGAAAAUCUAUGUGCAGAAGUUCGAUUCUUCUUUUCUUCACAA